UUCCGUAGGUGAACCUGNGGAAGGAUCAUUA
rnacentral:rRNA from 1 species